UCAACAUUUUCCAUAAAUAUACCUAGGACUCCCGACUCCCAAGGGCAGAAAUUCAAGCUGUCUUCAAGAUCAUAAGAUGCGACAAGUGCUCCAAACAAUCAAAAUUCAUUCAAGACGUUGGAAUAUAAAUUAAGUAUCUUGCACAAUUGGAAGUUUGAAGAGGGGGGUAAUGGGGUAUUUUCGUGCUGCGUAUUGGGGUAAUUUAAUUAUUCGUUCUUCGUUCAGUCAUCUUUUUAUUAAACGUUUUUCGAUCCCGACAUGGAUGCCGUGUAUCGUGCUUGCGGUGUAUUCAAUAUCCGUUCUCCGUUUUCAGCUGUAUUUAAAGACGGUUAUUUCUCGUUUCUGGACAAUAUAUUCCAUUAAUUUUGUUUCUGGAUUUUAGCUAUGUUUUGAUUGGGGAACGGAGGUUUCAAAGUUUAUAUAAAUCAUGAACAUCGACGCAAUUGUAAACAAAUAGGUGAACACACCGCCUAGUACAGACUGUUUAUAUUCACCUUUAAGACUUCUAAGUAAGGUUGUUGCUUACAUUUCAUGUUCACUUUACAUUUCAGAUUCGUAAUAAAUUUAUUUUACGUGCUUCAGGACUUCCUUCUUUUAUUUUUCAUGCUUCAAGAUCGCUGCAUAUUAUUUUUCGUUACCCCCCUCUUUGAAUGUUCAAAGCAACCUUUCCUGCUAGUGUCAUUCAGUAUCAUUUUUUGUGAGGUCUGAGGGUUCUACAUUUUCUCAAUUUACAGAAUAACCUGCAGAAAUCAAAAUGUCAGAUAUUCAAUUUCCUUUUCCAAAAUGCAAUUUCAGAAAAUUGCGAUCAACAUGGCAUGCCAUCAUGAACAGCCAUGCAAUCUUAACAACGGUACUAUGAUCUGCAUGCAUUCAGUUAAAAACUGUUUCUAAGUUGUUAUAACGAAGAAUGCACGCAACCCUUUCAAUUGACUAAAUGCUGUGUUUUCGAUCUGCUAUCUGUUAUAAUACAAAUAUGCAAUCAUUUUCCACUUUCCAGGCCAUCUACUCAGUAACUAAUUAAAUAUGCAAUGAAUCUCAGCUUUCAUUUCCAUAUUAUAUAUUCUUAGAGUUAAUCUCCACUUCUCACAUCUGGAACAAGACCUUGGUAAUAGUGGAAGAAGACUUCUUCCACUAUUACCAAGGUCUUGUUCCAGAUGUGAGAAGUGGAAGAAGAUAGUUACGUUACACAUUUAUGAUGUUGGUUAUUUUGUAUCAAAGUUGUUUUUCAUUGAUGAUUGAUUAAUCUGCUAUCUUCCUGUAAGUAAUCCUUUUCUAUACUCCAUCUGCUUUGAGACUAUGUACACAUUAAAUUUAUUUUCCUAUUGUAACUCUGUCUGGUUUCUCACCAAAUAUAAAUAAAUCCUACAACUUAUUUCAUC